AGUUUCUUCUGCCUAGACAAAAGCUUCUUCACAUCAAUAACAACUCGUAUUCUCAUAUAUUGUUGAUGGGUGUUAUUGCUCUAUUUGGUGUCAUACUCGAUGAAGUUGCCCAAGAAAUCGCCAAACUGUCUUACCAUUCCCCCUGACAUGCAACCUGCAGACAGUUUGAACCCAGAAGUGGCUCGACACAAUAUCAACUUUUCGAGGGUCCUCAUUCUCCAACAACUUUUGAAUGACUAGCAAAUGGUUAUUAUAGGUCUAAGGGCCUCCGCUAAUGAUUCUUUAGAUGUCAAUCUCAUAGAAGAAUCGAAAAAGGAAUGGCCUCAAUCCCAAGUCUGUUAUGUUAACUCCCCAUAACAGCCUACACAUGUCCGCCAGAGUAUUCUUCAUGAGUUUGGGCUUAACCAUUGCCUUCGUCAAAAAUCUCCCAACCAAGAAGAGGCCAUAAGAUUCAUGUUGUUCUAAUCCCCCUUCUGAUAGAUCCCAACUGCCAUCUUUUGUAUCUAUGAUUGAGAGAGAGGUGAUAUCAACAUCAUCGUCCAUGGCACGGCUGUCGCUGGAG
rnacentral:lncRNA from 1 species